rnacentral:sRNA from 1 species
GUCGUAUCGGUUAGAUCGGGAUACUCAUCAAAUUAGCACACAAAACCGAGAUGCCUUCUCUUGCCAAUGGCGGGCCACACCCUUCGGGGCAGCAGCAGUGCCGGUGGAUUACAAAGGCGGAGAGCGCUCAAAUCGUAUGAAACAGGAGUUUCAUCACAUCAUCGGUGCGACCCUCU